AUUAGCGCCCUGUGAUGACGCCGCAUAACUUCUCACACGAAUAAAUAAUCACACAUUAAAAAUUACGAUAACUACUAUUAUUAUUGCUAGGCAAAGUCUAACUAAAACUUCAAAAAUAAAACCCUCUUCACAGAAUAAAUAUUCCCCGCCUUUAAGUAAGCUGUAACCAAACAGUAUUUGCCAAACCUAUAUGUGGUUACAGACACAACAACGAUCUCUUAACUAGGGUGACGAUAUAUUUUUACAUUUUUUAUGAAGAACUAGUUAAGUUUUUAUUUCAUUUGCGAAGAAAUGAAUGUGCUCACCGCUCAAAAGUUCAAUGCUUAAAGAUAGAUGUCCAAUCACUUAAACUCAAACACACACUAUUAUAAACCGCUCACUUGUUGCGUCAAACACUUUUACACAUUGUGCAAAGGUGGCGAGAGUCGGCAACUAGUUAAUUGCAUUUCAACGCAACUAUUAUCACAUACAUUUUGCGCUUUGUCGACAGAAAUGCAAAUAUCAUUAUAACGCCGGCAACUAUGUAUAUAUGUACAUACAUAUGUAGAUUUAAA